ensembl:lncRNA
AAAAAAUCUAAUUAUGAAGAAACCUAAUUAUGCAGUGCACCAGACGAGCCAAUUAGUGUGUGUGGUCUGAAGAUUCAAAUGAACCAGCGGUUGAGUGUCACGACAAACAUCAAGUGGUGCCGUUCUCUUCAAAUCUGCUCAAAGCUUUUAUAGCUGCAGAAAAGUCUUCUAGAUCUUUAAGAAUUCCUCUGAUUCCCCAGCUGCGUCUGCGGUGUCUAAACACCGACUUUAAGUCCUUAGAUGUAAAAGAAAUACCUGCUGCACAUCCUUCUGGAACAAAUGUGCUUUGGAGGGCUUUUUUUAGAUAUGGGUGUUGUGAGGCAGACCGCGCCACAGAGGUGGAUCUGUUUAUGACAGGGAACAACUGCCAACACUGUCAUUAUUUGGCAGGGUUCAGCCGAGGAGCAGGACUGACUGCUGGGCAAGUGUGUGUCCGACCAAUAUCCAGCUCACUGGCGGAUACACAUGAACCUCUGACAGGAGGGGAUCCACUGGUUAGCAAGAGAUGUAUUUCUACAUUUCUCCAAAUCUAUUCCACUGAAGAAAUAAACUCUACAUCUUGGAUAACCUGUGGGUGAGUACAUUAUCAGCAAAUUUUCAUUUCUGGCUGAACUAUUUCUUUAAGACCUGCUAUUAUUUCUCAGGCCACAACUUAAACCCCAUGAGAUCCAAGUGGUCUCGCACAGUAAAUCACCUCCAGUCUUGUAUGCAGCUGUAAAUUCAUUGUGUGAUUGUUUGUCAUGUGGGUUUGAAAUCCCACAGCCAGCGUUCAGUUCAGUUAGCGGGUCAGUGUGACGCCCGGCCACCAUUCAGACCCAUUGUAGUGUGAGUUUACUAACCUUCUCUCUGGCUCCAGGCUGGGAAAUUGGCUGGACUCCCUGUUCUUCCAGCUUCAGUAAUGCAUCUAAUCCUGGCUUUGGUCAACGCUGUAAACUCUGCACAAUUACUCUGGAUGUAUAUUUAGCUGGGCUUUUAUUCAAAGUCUUUUUAUAGAAGUGCAUCUUUUGAAGAAAAAAAAAAAAUCACUUAGCUAUUUUAUUAGCCUUGUUUGAUUUCUGUUUGUUUAAAGUAUGAUUCAUGUUCAACCUUCUGGAAUUAUAAAUUCGGAACAGAUUGAAUAACGAUUGAAAAGCAUAAGCAUGUUCUUUCUCAUAAAUAAAUCAACUAAAGUGUUAAGCCCA